CACAGGUGCUGCAUGGCUGUCGUCAGCUCGUGUCGUGAGAUGUUGGGUUAAGUCCCGCAACGAGCGCAACCCUCACUUUUAGUUGCCAUCAUUAAGUUGGGCACUCUGAAAGAACUGCCAGUGAUAAGCUGGAGGAAGGUGGGGAUGACGUCAAGUCCUCAUGGCCCUUACGUGUUGGGCUACACACGUGCUACAAUGGUAUCUACAACAGGAAGCAAGACUGCGAAGUUAAGCAAAUCCCUAAAAGAUACCUCAGUUCGGAUUGCACUCUGCAACUCGAGUGCAUGAAGCUGGAAUUACUAGUAAUCGUGGAUCAGCGUGCCACGGUGAAUGCGUUCCCGGG
rnacentral:rRNA from 1 species